GGGUCUCUGGAGGUUACCCUCCAGGGAUCCGCGAGCCGCUUCAGGUUGCAUUCUGCGACGCAAAGGCGCCUUUGUUCGACUCCAACCUUGUUUUCCUUCAUACCUUAUCCUCCUAUUUUGAGUACCUCAGCACCUCAUGGGCUGCGCUUCAGCAUUUCCCCAUCAGUCAGUGCCUCUGACUUCUAGCCGCCAGUCCCUCCCAGCGGAUACUUUAAGCAAGCAACCAAACCAAACAGACGCCCAGUACGCUUCCUUGUAGGACGCUCCGUUUUCCGCUCUUUGGUCGCAUGACUUGACCUGAGCGUAUCCCCUAGACUUGAUCUUCACACACAGCUUCAUAGGUUCAGACACGUUUUUUCUAGAGAAAUCAUACUUUCUAUCUGCGAUUGUGGAACUGCUAUUGCUCUAAGCCCUUGAAAAUAAUUUCCUCAUAUGAAAGCUUGGGUCAAAAUUUAGAAGUGAAACCCAGCCUUCCCUCCAUCUUCUACUCUUGGCCUACCCUGGGCCUACACUUUAUCAUCCUUGAACCGAAACAGUCGCCUGGCCUUAUAAUGUUUGAUCGGGGAAGUUGAAUUGGGGAAUUAACCUACAACCUGACAGGAUGCGGUCCGCCAGUCUCCAACAGAGUUUAAAACAUCCUGAAGAUGAAGGACCAGCACCUGUUUUGGAGACAUGGAGUUACAACUGAGUUGAAGAGAUAAUCAUAACAGUAGCUUCUAAAUAUAAACCUGAUGCAUAUACAGCCAUUAUACCAAAGAGUAAAGUUUUAGCAUAUGUGCUGCUGAAGCGAGCACAAAGCGAAGGCUUUAAAGACCAAGAAGGCAGUGUUGAAAGGUGUCCACAGCCACAAAAAAAGAGAAGAUCUGCAUGUCACCCUCCUUCCAGAGGCCCAAGACACUGUGACUCCAGAGGCAGCCCAAAUAUCCUUGGAAAAGCGCCUCCAGGAGAAACAAAUCUGACCACUAUGCUGUCAUCAAGUUUCCGCUGACCACUGAGUCCACCCUGAAGAAGACAGAAGACAACAACACACUUGUGUUCAUUGUGGAUGUUAAGGCCAACAAGCACCAGAUCAAACAGGCUGCAAAGAAGCUCUGUGACAUUGAUGUGGCCAAGGUCAACACCCUGAUUCAGCCUGAUGGAGAGAAGAAGGCGUGUGUUCGACUGGCUCCUGAUUACAAUGCUUUGGAUGUUGCCAACAAAAUUGGGAUCAUCUAAACUGAGUCCAGCUGGCUAAUUCUAAAUAUAUGUAUAUCUUUUCACCACACACACACAAAAAGUAAAAUAAAUAAAUAAAUGGCUGAGGGAUAGACAAGUCUCCAGUGUAAAAAAACUUCCAAAUAGCUUAUGUAAUUAUUCUACUCUAAGGAUGGGGAGUGUAACUCCCUGCUUCUUAUUGUUGGCUGAGCGUUGUGACUUCCUUCUAGAGUAUAAUACAGAAGGAGAAAAAAAGAGAAACAUUACAGUGAAGAAACCUGACAAGCACUACGUCAGCCAGGUCAAGAUUGACAUCAGUAGUCAUAAGUCCUUUGACAAAAUUGCCCUUUACCUCUGUAGUCUUCUUCCUUAAAACGCACACCCCCAAUCUUGAGAAAAGCAUCAGGCACAUUUUAGCAGUGGGGCAUCGUACAAGUACCUGACCAGUAUUAUCCAAAAUUGUCAAGUUCUUCAAAAAUAAAUAAAGCAUGAGAAAUUGUCACAACUAAGAGGAUCCUAAGAAAACAUGACAACUAAAUGUAACUCAGUAUCCUGAUGGAAUCCUGGGACACAAACAUGACACAAUAAGGUAAAAGUCCAGGAACCAUGACAAAAAUAUGAACUUCAGUUAGUGACGAUAUAUCAAUAUUUGUUCAUUAAUUGAAACAAAUAUAACAUAAGUUGUUAAUAAUAGAGAAAAUGGGUAUAGUAUGUAGGGGAAAUCUCUAUACUGUACUUUCAAAAUUUCUGAAUAAUUAAAACUGUUAAAAUAUAAAGUCUAUUUAAAAAGUCAAGUGUUUUCUUGUUUUAUGAUUAUGUUUCUGCAUUCCCCAAUAAAUAUUUGAGUUUGCUUUACCUCACUGAUAUUGAUGUUGAAGAAACAAACUAACUCUAAAAUGGUUGGUAAUUCCAAUUUAAUAAGUAGUAAUUCUUGGUAAUAUGUUUUUGGAAGAACUCACUGAAUAAAUCAAAGCAAACUGUCUUUAAAUGCUAAAUUUUUUUCAGUGUUUAAUUCUCUUUAAGAUUAAUGUUUGCCAUGGGCAUUAUUCCACUUCAGAGGGCAGCAAUUAUCAUAAACAUUGGUUGUAGGCAAUGUCUAACAUACAGUGAAAUAUUAAUGCAAGAUGCUGUAAUAACUUUAGCUAAAGUAUUUUAUGUUUUCAAAAUGUAUUGUUAUUUCAGUCUAUGCAGCCUUUUCAAAAUACAUUUUCUAACCACCUUAUCCAAACCAGAAAACUCACAAGGAAAUAAUACUAUAGGAUAGCAUGCUCAUCAGUUUGAAAUGGAGGCUCACUUUGCUGGCAUGCCUGGUUGCUAAUGAUACUGGCAUACGUAUUACUUUUAUAAAUCCCUUCCUUGGCAAAAUCUGGUCUCCACGGGGGAUAUCUUUGACACAGCAGGUACCUAGAAGCUAUAUAACAUAUGGCUUUGUAGCUAUAUUUAUGAAACAUUUUACACAGAAGUACAAUAUAAUGUAGAAAAUUGUUCUCUUUGCCUUCUGCUACUCAGAAAUCACUCACCAUCUUACUUUUUAUUAGCCAACUAAGACAUGUUUCAUAAAUUAGACUAUUUUUUUUAGCUC